GAGGUUGAUCCAGGCUCAGAUUGAACGCUGGCGGCAGGCUUAACACAAUCAAAUCGAGCGGGGAAGUAUAGCUUGCUAUAUGGCCUAGCGGCGGACGGGUGAGUAAUGCUUAGGAAUUUGCCUAUUAGUGGGGGACAACGUUUCGAAAGGAACGCUAAUACCGCAUACGUCCUACGGGAGAAAGCAGGGGAUUUUUGGACCCUGCGCUAAUAGAUGAGCCUAAGUCGGAUUAGCUAGUUGGUGGGGUAAAGGCCUACCAAGGCGACGAUCUGUAGCGGGUUUGAGAGGAUGAUCCGCCCCCCUGGGACUGAGACACGGCCCCGACUCCUACGGGAGGCAGCCGUGGGGAAUAUUGGACAAUGGGGGGAACCCUGAUCCAGCCCUGCCGCGUGUGUGAAGAAGGCCUUUUGGUUGUAAAGCCCUUUAAGCGAGGAGGAGGCUACUAGUAUUAAUACUACUGGAUAGUGGACGUUACAAGCAGAAUAAGCCCCGGCUAACUUUGUGCCCGCAGCC
rnacentral:rRNA from 1 species